GUAUCCUGAAUAGCUCUUUCUUUUUCUAUGAUAUCACAUGUGUUGUUGUGACAACAACUGCCUCUCAGAUAUUUUUUUCCUUUCCUCUAGGAUUUGAAUAUUUGCAUAUCGGCCUCUAAUUCAGAGUAAACAACCCUAUUGGAGGGAGAACAAAGAGGAUGAAGAGAUCAGAGAUCUGGAGAAGGAACCUGGCCACCUGUCUUGGUAUAAAAGAAGACACAUGUGGUCCAUGGGAAAGCUCAUGGUCACUUUGCGCUCCAGAAGUGGAAAUCUAUGGGGUCUUACACCAUUUUGGUGCAUCACCGGGACUGUGCUCACUCCAGACCACAAUUGGCUAAGAGAUCAGAGGCUAACCAUCAACGAUGCUUUGUUGAGGGUCAAAUUCACCUACAAAUCUCAUCCCAGUCCAGGUAAGUACAUUUUUGUCCCUCAGUCAAAUGAGGCCAACAUUCUUUUCUGCCUACUGUCCUAGUGCCUUUGCUGAAAAACCAAAAAAAUUCUCACCCCUCCGUCCUGAGCUGGACAGUCAGUGAUGGAUAAGAGAAUGAUAUAUUCAUGAAUAAAAGGCCAAAGAGGAGGGCCAACAUUAGCUGCUGCCUUAUCCCAUGAUGGGCCCUGGCUACAAUAUUCUUUUGGCCAUGUGACAAGUAACACCCAAACCUAAGACAGUCGCAGUUUCCAAGGGGUGCAUUUCAGUACAUGCAUGGGCAUUGGUCACUUUUACAUUUGAAUGUAAGUAAGGAGGAGAUGUUUGUUGUGAUUCCCUUGAAGCCCUCCAUUUUAGAUGUUAUUAUUAUGGUUAGAAUUAAGUAUGACUGGGUUAAUGGAAAAUCCCCAGCCAGCUGCAGAAGACUAAUACAAAUCUAGUGGUCAAGAAAAUAAUAAUAUGAUAAUGUUGUCCUGCUGAUUAAUAAUAUGACAAACCUGUGAACUCUCUGGCAUCCUUUCACAUCAGAUCUAUGAAAAAACGAAUCCUGUGUUCUUGCAUUGCGUAAAUGUUUCUUAGGUCCCCCUCCCUCUGUUACCCCUCUUAUGGUAUAAAUUCAGCCUUGGAGAAAAAUAAAAUUGAUGCCUUCUUCAGACUCUUUUCUUGGCAUCCUUCUUCACAUCCUUUGUCCCACAUUCUCUUCCAGUUACCCUCAGAACCCUCACUUACACAGCAUUUGUAAUCCUUUCUCAAAAUCUACCAACAACAGAUCAGUUGUCAGUAAACUAUUUUGCC